CACCCAUUUUCCUUGUUGGCUACUUUUGUUGGGUCGUUGAUGCUAAGAUGCUGUUGUUGUAUAUGAUCUUUGUGUUGUGCUAAAUUUGGGUCAGAUUAAUUUGGUCUUUACUUGUAGAGACAAAAAUAUGAUAACUUUUUUAUUGUAAGACCUAAUAAGAAUAUAUGAUGAGACGAUAAAAUUGAUUUGGUGACUUUGCUUCUCAUCUUUGCAUGUAUCUAUCUUGUAAUCGAUGAGGAGACCUGAAACCUGAGUGACUCCAUGUAUGUAUCAUAUAUGCCAUUGGCUGUAUUGUGUUUAACAUAGCAGCAUUCGAGGGUGUCGAGAUCUAGUUGUAACCUGAGUUUGUGGUGCUCAAGUACAACUUCAUACUUUUGGUAAAUGGUCAUGCAUGUGUAUAACAUUUCAAAGUUUGGUACCGUCCGGCUUAAUUAGCUCGCUCUUCUUGCAUAUUAAUUAAGCCAAUGUUCAUAUAAGCACACAAAGCGAAAUGACCGUUUAUGUACGAUCAGAUUAAAACCUAAAUAUUUAGUUAAACAUGGUUUGGUAGAGUCCCUAAUAUUCUUCUAAUUUGGUCAACUACAACACAACCUGAAGUUAAUUAGUUUCAAGAUACUAACUGCAUUUAACUGGUACUGUUGGAGGGGCGCAUCUAGUCAGGAACAACGAAUUCCUCCUACUUUCCCCUGCCAAAAAAGAAUUCUUCCUACUUAUGUAUAGGUAAUACUCUCAAGCAUUUAUCAAUUGGAAGCCUGUUGUUGACUUAAGAACUGGUAUGGUUCAGCCUGGUUCCAUUUUAUAUCUGCAAGACAGGAUUUUUUAUGUACAUUAUAUUUGUCGGAGAACGUCUCCCACGGGAGCCACUGCAUGACAACAAGCUCAAGCUUGUAAACCUUUUUAGCGAUUUUAUAACCAGGGCACUAGCAUUCGUGGUUCUGGCACGUUUAUUUUCUCUUGUUUCUACAUUGCUGUUGAAUAUUGUGACCAGCGUACUUACUUCCGGCUUAUUGCUGCUUGUGUGUAAAGUGAACUAGUGAUUGGUGUCCUCUAUUUGUAUUACUACUUACAUAUCAUUAUUUGCGCCAAGUAAUUUCGAUAGAGUGAGCUGGUAGUUCAUGUAUUUAGUACAUUUUUACUCGACCAGCGCUAUCUUUCGGAUAGUUGUUUUCUCCCAGAGUGUGUAUCUUCUCUUCGUGUUACCUGAUCCGUCCAACUAUGUAUAGGAGAACAUUGACUACCAAACAUACUUUUAUGCUAGGCCAAGAGGCGAACCUAAAGAAGAAAUACCGAGGUCUGAAUUCUGCAGAUAUACUGGGAGAAAUCUUUUCCAGUGGCAGCGGUGGCCUCUUCUUGGUCUUCAUGUUAUAGCAUUUAUCCUCUGCCCAACUAAGAAGAUCAGAUCAAGCGCCAUCAUGGCACUGUCAUUGUGGAGUGCUGAGGACACAAGCCCUGCCGCGACACCGUACGAGCUGCGCUUCUUGAACCAGUGGUAGUCGCUGGAUAAGUACACAGAGGAGCAUAUUUCCAUGGCAUUCAUUAAGGGGAGAAAUGGAUGAGGCCCUGAUGCAGCAGCAAUGGAGUAGUAAAGAUGGAGAUGGCCAGGAGGUAGCCAUCGACUACUUCCUCCGCCCUCGCUGCCAUGCGAUGGAGGCAAGUUCACCAUGGUGCAGCUAUGGCAGCAGCGACCUUCUAGGUCUCCAUGCUCUAGCUUACUGUGUUCUAUGGGCCUCCUCACUGGGACACUGGCAGACUUGUAUGCGAGAAGGUCAAUCUGGGCAGUGUAGCAGGCGUUCUGGAGCGAGAUGAUGGUGACGAGGCUGCUCAAACGCAUGGACAUGAUCUGGAUGAGAAGUUUCCAGUGAUCAAGUCCUCUCCCGUGACGGUGUUGUCCAGGAGCGCAAGCGCUAAAGAAGGAACAAUCAAGCCUCUCAACUAGAGGUGCAUCCUCUAGUGCAUAACCUCGAGGAAUGGGGGCCAGUAUGGAUGACAUCCUCACUGAUCCUUACCGGAUGGUGGCAUUCAGCCACCUAGAGGUUAUGGCACAGUUUUCAACCGAAAAAGUUCCCAUGUUUAUUUUGUGCUACUCUUCCUUGCUGUAGUUAGCCUUUUUGUUCAAGUCCUGGUGUUGGACAAGAAGUGUUGAAUGAAUGUGCUUAAGAUUAGUGUGAUCUCUUUGCAAAGUCUGGAUGUAGAUUAGGGUGGUCAUUAGGCGUAUUUAAGUGCGAAUUUGAGCCGAGUCAUGGAAGGCGUGGAUUAGUUUAACUAAAUGUUUUGAAACAUGAACUAGAAUGAUUGUGUUGCAUCAUACAUCUCGAAGCCACUAGUGCAGCCCAGCCAAAUAAUCUAUAGGUGUUGUUAAAAAAAUGUUUUGCACUGUAACUAGAAUGAUUGUGUUGCAUCUAUGAGGUGCACAUAGUCUUAUACACGUUGUGAACCACUUUGCAAGUAUCGGUCUCAUGAUGGAUGAUUUGGUGUUUACCUAUAUUUGUGUUGUAAAUUUAUCAAAUUGGUAACCUAGCUGCUGUUGAGCUACUUGUUUGGACUUUAACCAAGUGGACUACGGUAGCAGUUGCAAGUUACGUUCUAUGAUAUUUUUUUUUUGUUGUUGUUGGGACAUUAGCCAAGUGGACUAGGGUGACUUUUUCUUUAUUUGUUGUGAAUUGGGAACUAGAUGCUAUCUUUUAUAAUAAGCAUGAUUGAUUCUUUGUGUUGUCUGUUCAUGAGUAUGAAUGGAAUGGAAUAUGUGAUGUUCUCGAUACAGAAUUUUGAAUGAAUUUUCAACUUAUUUCUUGCUUGUAAAGAAUUAUGAUAUGACUGUGGUGUGUCAGAUAUACAGAUGCUUUGCUCGCUUCAGAUAUACAGACUUUCUUUGCCUAGCACCAAGCAAACCCGAAGGUGCAUCCCAUCAAAAAGAAGAUGAUGUCAAAGAGAAUGUCAUGAGAAAUAGAUGAACUCUGAGGGGAGAAAUGGAGCUGGCCAAGAGAGAUAGCUCUGGUUGCUAGAUCCAGCUGGCCGGCAGCCUGUGAGUUUAGAUACGUUUGUGGUUGCUUCCUUCUGUGUUGUGUGGGAGUGCAACAUAUACUUCUUUUAACUAAUAACAGUUAUGUUGAGAUACAUAGUGAGCAACCAAGAAUAUUUCGGUUGAGCUCAUCA